CGAACGCUGGCGGCGUGCCUCAUACAUGCACGUCGAGCGAAGUUUUUCUGGUGCUUGCACCGGAAAAAAUUAGCGGCGAACGGGUGAGUAACACGUAAAGAACCUGCCUCAUAGACUGGGACAACUAUUGGAAACGAUAGCUAAUACCGGAUAAUAGCAUUAACUGCAUGGUUGAUGUUUAAAAGUUGGUUUUGCUAACACUAUGAGAUGGCUUUGCGGUGCAUUAGCUAGUUGGUGGGGUAAAGGCCUACCAAGGCGACGAUCCAUAGCCGACCUGAGAGGGUGAUCGGCCACACUGGGACUGAGACACGGCCCAGACUCCUACGGGAGGCAGCAGUAGGGAAUCUUCCGCAAUGGGCGAAAGCCUGACGGAGCAACGCCGCGUGAGUGAAGAAGGAUUUCGGUUCGUAAAGCUCUGUUGUUAGGGAAGAAUGAUUGUGUAGUAACUAGACACAGUGGAGACGGUACCUAACCAGAAAGCCACGGCUAACUACGUG
rnacentral:rRNA from 1 species